UGCGAGUCGACGAGAACGGGUCUUAGCUUGCUAAGAUUGUCAGCUAAGUGGCGCACGGGUGAGUAAUAUAUAGGUAACAUGCCUUCGAGAAGGGGAUAACGUUUGGAAACGAACGCUAAUACCCUAUAUGCCUUUAAGUCUUAAGACUGCAAGGGAAAUAUUUAUAGCUCGAAGAUUGGCCUGUACAGUAUCAGCUAGUUGGUGAGGUAAUGGCUCACCAAGGCAAUGACGCCUAACUGGUUUGAGAGGAUGAUCAGUCACACUGGAACUGAGACACGGUCCAGACUCCUACGGGAGGCAGCAGUGGGGAAUAUUGCACAAUGGACGAAAGUCUGAUGCAGCAACGCCGCGUGGAGGAUGACACAUUUCGGUGCGUAAACUCCUUUUAUAUAGGAAGAUAAUGACGGUACUAUAUGAAUAAGCACCGGCUAACUCCGUGCCAGCAGCCGCGGUGAUACGGAGGGUGCAAGCGUUACUCGGAAUCACUGGGCGUAAAGAGAAUGUAGGCGGGUAGAUAAGUUUGAAGUGAAAUCCAAUGGCUCAACCAUUGAACUGCUUUGAAAACUGUUUACCUAGAAUAUGGGAGAGGUAGAUGGGAAUUUCUGGUGUAGGGGUAGAAUCCGUAGAGAUCAGAAGGAAUACCGAUUGCGAAGGCGAUCUACUGGAACAUUAUUGACGCUGAGAUUCGAAAGCGUG
rnacentral:rRNA from 1 species